rnacentral:lncRNA from 1 species
AAAAAUUCUGAAAAAUUACAGUAGUUGUUUCUGGAAUUUAAUGGCCAUAUCUUCUGAAUAUUUAUCCAUUCAGAAUCUUAACAUGGUAUCAGUUUAAAAGCCUUCUUGAUCUUGGGGAGUUUAUUUGUUCGUAGAAUUGCUGGAAUAGUAUUUUUUUUUUUAUAUUCUUAAAUCCUUAACAAUAUCUACAUCCCUAGCUAGUGG